AUCUCUUCCUCUGGGCAUGUUUACAGUGUUAGUCCAGGAACUAUUACAGCCAACUUGAAGCAGAGACAUGGAAAGAGAAUAGAGAAAAUCAAAGAGAAAUGAACCAGGACUUUGAUCCAGUCAUCUGUGAUCACUGCUUAGAGAGCUGUGAGAUGUGGCUGUGGUGUCUUCUUCAAAUUACCAAUGAGGGGUGGAUCCACGGAGUGUCUCUGGAAGUGGAAGUCCUCACAUCUCAUUACCAAACCUCUGAAGCACGAAAUCUCCCUGCAUUCACAGGGUCUGGACUUGAUUUUGCCUGACAGGCAGAAUCAGCAGCAUGUGUGUGACCUUCACUGCAUUGUUGAAUGAUUGCCCAUCAGAAAACACAAAGAGUAAAGGACUUCUGGGC